rnacentral:SRP_RNA from 15 species
UUGCUCCCAAUGAGUGGUGGUAUGCGUGAGGCGCGUACAAUUUUCACAGAGCAGUGUUUAC